rfam:Schistosoma haematobium scaffold545_4, whole genome shotgun sequence.
AUCCAGCUGACGAGUCCCAAAUAGGGCGAAACGCGCAUCCUGGAC